AAAGUCGUAACAAGGUUUCCGUAGGUGAACCUGCGGAAGGAUCAUUAUCGAGGGUCGGGUCGCCCUUAUGGGCACCCACAUCCCCAAUCUCUAGCGAAUAUGUCCCCCGUUUUUCCGGCGGGUUUGAGGUAGACGUCGGGCCGUCGGAGCUCGGAGCGCUGGGCCUUGGUCCCUGUGCCCUCCACUUCGGCAGUCCGGCGUCUAUCGCCGCCGGAUCGUCAGUUAACACGUACGCUUUCGACUGCUGUCUGAGCUUGUGGUCAAUACAUGAAAACUUUCAACAACGGAUCUCUUGGUUCUG
rnacentral:misc_RNA from 1 species